UACGGAGGUGGCAAGCGUUGCUCGGAAUCACUGGGCGAAAAGGGCGCGUAGGCGGACUGCUAAGUCGAACGUGAAAUCCCUGGGCUCAACCCAGGAACUGCGUCCGAUACUGGUUGGCUUGAAUCCGGGAGAGGGAUGUGGAAUUCCAGGUGUAGCGGUGAAAUGCGUAGAUAUCUGGAGGAACACCGGUGGCGAAGGCGGCAUCCUGGACCGGUAUUGACGCUGAGGCGCGAAAGCCAGGGGAGCAAACGGG
rnacentral:rRNA from 1 species